rnacentral:rRNA from 1 species
UGAGGAAUAUUGGUCAAUGGGCGGGGAGCCUGAACCAGCCAAGCCGCGUGAGGGAGGAAGGCCCUACGGGUCGUAAACCUCUUUUGCCGGGGAACAAAAGCGGGUAUGCAUACCCGUCUGAGUGUACCCGGAGAAAAAGCAUCGGCUAACUCCGUGCC